GAGAGAUUCUCUGUUUGGGCUGCACUGU
rnacentral:piRNA from 1 species